GAAAUAUAGCAUCUGGGAUGCCAAUCAUUUACACUGAUUAGAGGGACGUUCAAAUCGCCCUAUUUC
rnacentral:tRNA from 1 species